AGCAGCCGCGGUAAUUCCAGCUCCAAUAGCGUAUAUUAAAGUUGUUGCAGUUAAAAAGCUCGUAGUUGAAUUUCGGGGUUAGUAGGUUGGUCAUGCCUCUGGUAUGUACUGGUCUCACUGAUUCCUCCUUCCUGAUGAGCCGUAAUGCCAUUAAUUUGGUGUUGCGGGGAAUUUGGACUGUUACUUUGAAAAAAUUAGAGUGUUUAAAGCAAGCUAACGCUUGAAUACAUUAGCAUGGAAUAAUGAAAUAGGACGUUCGAUCCUAUUUUGUUGGUUUCUAGGAUUGACGUAAUGAUUAAUAGGGAUAGUUGGGGGCAUUAGUAUUCAAUUGUCAGAGGUGAAAUUCUUGGAUUUAUUGAAGACUAACUACUGCGAAAGCAUUUGCCAAGGAUGUUUUCAUUAAUCAAGAACGAAAGUUAGGGGAUCGAAGACGAUCAGAUACCGUCGUAGUCUUAACCAUAAACUAUGCCGACUAGGGAUCGGAUGAUGUUAAUUCUUUAAUGA
rnacentral:misc_RNA from 1 species